AUUGAACGCUGGCGGCAUGCUUUACACAUGCAAGUCGAACGGCAGCGCGGGGCAACCUGGCGGCGAGUGGCGAACGGGUGAGUAAUAUAUCGGAACGUACCCAGAAGUGGGGGAUAACGUAGCGAAAGUUACGCUAAUACCGCAUACGAUCUACGGAUGAAAGUAGGGGACCGCAAGGCCUUAUGCUUUUGGAGCGGCCGAUAUCUGAUUAGCUAGUUGGUGAGGUAAAGGCUCACCAAGGCGACGAUCAGUAGCUGGUCUGAGAGGACGACCAGCCACACUGGAACUGAGACACGGUCCAGACUCCUACGGGAGGCAGCAGUGGGAAAUUUUGGACAAUGGGCGCAAGCCUGAUCCAGCAAUGCCGCGUGAGUGAAGAAGGCCUUCGGGUUGUAAAGCUCUUUUGUCAGGGAAGAAACGGUAGAGGCUAAUAUCCUUUGCUAAUGACGGUACCUGAAGAAUAAGCACCGGCUAACUACGUG
rnacentral:rRNA from 1 species